GAGUUUGAUCGUGGCUCGGGACGAACGCUGGCGGCGUGCCUAACACAUGCAAGUCGAGCGGAGAGGCUCCUUCGGGAGUACUCGAGCGGCGAACGGGUGAGUAACACGUGGGUAAUCUGCCCAGGACACAGGAAUAACCAGUGGAAACGCUGGCUAAUGCCUGAUGAAGUGCCGGCCCUGCGGGGCUUGGUACCAAAGGUAGCUUCGGCCUCCGGUCUUGGAUGAGCCCGCGGCCCAUUAGCUUGUUGGCGGGGUAACGGCCCACCAAGGCGACGAUGGGUAGCUGGUCUGAGAGGACGAUCAGCCACACUGGGACUGAGACACGGCCCAGACUCCUACGGGAGGCAGCAGUGGGGGAAUCUUGCGCAAUGGGCGAAAGCCUGACGCAGCAACGCCGCGUGCGGGAGAAGGCCUCGGUGUAACG
rnacentral:rRNA from 1 species